rnacentral:rRNA from 1 species
GACGAACGCUGGCGGCGUGCUUAACACAUGCAAGUCGAACGGAAAGGCCCUGCUUUUGUGGGGUGCUCGAGUGGCGAACGGGUGAGUAACACGUGAGUAACCUGCCCUUGACUUUGGGAUAACUUCAGGAAACUGGGGCUAAUACCGGAUAGGAGCUCCUGCUGCAUGGUGGGGGUUGGAAAGUUUCGGCGGUUGGGGAUGGACUGGCGGCUUAUCAGCUUGUUGGUGGGGUAGUGGCUUACCAAGGCUUUGACGGGUAGCCGGCCUGGGAGGGUGACCGGCGACAUUGGGACUGAGAGACGGCCCAGACUCCUACGGGAGGCAGCAGUGGGGAAUAUUGCACAAUGGGCGGAAGCCUGAUGCAGCAACGCCGCGUGCGGGAUGACGGCCUUCGGGUUGUAAACCGCUUUAGCCUGUGACGAAGCGUGAGUGACGGUAAUGGGUAAAGAAGCACCGGCUAACUACGUG